CUAUGCACGCAAACGCCUUUCAGCACGACAGCAGCGCCGCCCGGAUGGCCUCCGGCAUGACGUCGCGUGCCCGCCAACCGGAAUCCCACAUUUUCGCUGGGUAACCGGAGCGUUUUGCUGCCUG
rfam:Xanthomonas campestris pv. campestris str. ATCC 33913, complete genome.